rnacentral:rRNA from 1 species
GACGAACGCUGGCGGCGUGCUUAACACAUGCAAGUCGUACGGUAAGGCCCUUUCGGGGGUACACGAGUGGCGAACGGGUGAGUAACACGUGAGUAACCUGCCCACAACUUUGGGAUAACGCUAGGAAACUGGUGCUAAUACUGGAUAUGUGCUCCUGCUGCAUGGUGGGGGUUGGAAAGCUCCGGCGGUUGUGGAUGGACUCGCGGCCUAUCAGCUUGUUGGUGGGGUAGUGGCCUACCAAGGCGGCGACGGGUAGCCGGCCUGAGAGGGUGACCGGCCACAUUGGGACUGAGAUACGGCCCAGACUCCUACGGGAGGCAGCAGGGGGGAAUAUUGCACAAUGGGCGCAAGCCUGAUGCAGCAACGCCGCGGGCGGGAUGACGGCCUUCGGGUUGUAAACCGCUUUCAGCAGGGACGAAGCUUUUUGUGACGGUACCUGCAGAAGAAGCACCGGCUAACUACGUG